rnacentral:snRNA from 1 species
AGAUAUGAAGAUGAUCUGGCUGUGACUUCUGCCACCCCACUGACUUCCUUGGUUGAUUUGGCUGAUCUGGCUGGCUAAGUGUGUGUCCCCUUCCUCCCUCAUGACUCCACGUGUCCUUCCUGAAGCUGCACGCUGGAUUGAAGAGGACAGCCUUCUCCAAAUAGAAGAGGACCAGGUCUUUGGCCAAGGGUAUAUGAGUAGCUGCACUCCACGGCUAGAACCUCCAAAUAAGAAUACACAUGUGACCCAAUCAUAGCCAACUGGGUGUGAUAGAUAUAGCUGGAUAUUUCUCCUCAAAAGGAACAUAGUUAUUCUUU